AUUGAACGCUGGCGGCAUGCCUUACACAUGCAAGUCGAACGGUAACGGGCCUUCGGGUGCCGACGAGUGGCGAACGGGUGAGUAAUGCAUCGGAACGUACCUUUCAGUGGGGGAUAACGUAGCGAAAGUUACGCUAAUACCGCAUAUUCUGUGAGCAGGAAAGCAGGGGAUCGCAAGACCUUGUGCUGAUUGAGCGGCCGAUGUCAGAUUAGCUAGUUGGUGAGGUAAAGGCUCACCAAGGCGACGAUCUGUAGCGGGUCUGAGAGGAUGAUCCGCCACACUGGAACUGAGACACGGUCCAGACUCCUACGGGAGGCAGCAGUGGGGAAUUUUGGACAAUGGGGGCAACCCUGAUCCAGCCAUGCCGCGUGAGUGAAGAAGG
rnacentral:rRNA from 1 species